CAGGAGCCACAGUGAGCAAGAAGGAAAGACGUAUGAGAUGAGAAUAAUAAUGCUUUUAUUAUGCACUUAUUGUAAUGCCAGGCAUUGUCUAGGCCCUUUGUAUUACCUCAUUUAAGCUUCAAAAUAGUUGCAAGUAGGUGCUCAGUUUCCUCUUUCCUAUGCAAAGGCAUAGAAGAGAGAGUGAGGAAAGGAAAACAUGUAUUGACUACUGUCCGGACCUUUAAUCCUGAACAACCCUGUAAGGUGUUCUUACCCUAUUGAAUAGAUAAUCCAGAAGAUACCCUGUAAGGUAGGUAUUCUUGUCUAAUUUUUAUAGAUAAGGAAAGCUUCUUAACAGUAAGAUUAAGUUCCUACAGCUGGUAAUGGAUCCAUGAUUUGAAUCCAGGUCUGACUCCAAAGCUAAGCUUUUUCCAUUAUGAAACAUUGCCUUUAACAAGCAUGAUCUUUUCUUUUUGCUUCUCCUAUUGCAGACAAGGGACUAUCAGGAAAACGCACCAAAACUGAGAACUCAGGUGAGGCAUUAGCUAAAGUGGAGGACUCCAACCCUCAGAAGACUUCAGCCACUAAAAACUGUUUGAAGAAUCUAAGCAGCCACUGGCUGAUGAAGUCAGAGCCAGAGAGCCGCCUAGAGAAAGGUGUAGAUGUGAAGCAUUGAGGAUCUCAAAGCACAGCCCAAACAGACAACAUGCUGGGAUGGUGUUCGUAACUACCAGGCUCGGAACUUCCUUAGAGCCAUGAAGCUGGG
rnacentral:lncRNA from 10 species